rnacentral:lncRNA from 1 species
GUGUCACCUAACACGGUACCACCAAACUAAAUAUCCUCUCCACACAACCCUUAUACACAAAGUACCUCCGGUUUUACUUAUAAGCACAGGUUUUGGGACUUGUAGGAAUUCACGUCCAUCUCUCCAAAGAUGUCCAUCCAUUUUUGUCCAGGGGCUGGCUUUGGAGGACCAGCUGCUUGUCAAUCAGGCCUUUGCAUCUGUAAUUCAUCAGAUGGGCUAUCCCUGUCUAAGAUGUCCAGUUUUUUUUUUUUUUUUUUUUUUUUUUGAGACAGAGUCUCACUCUGCUGCCCAGGCUGGAGUGCAAUGGCACGAUCUCUGCUCACUGCAACCUCCACCUCCCAGGUUCAAGCGAUUCUCCUGACUCAGCCUCCUGAGUAGCUGGGACUAUAGGCGUGUACCACCAUGCCCGGCUGAUUUUUUUUUUUUUUUUUUUUUUUUUGAGAUGGAGUCUCACUCUGUCACCCAGGCUGGAGCGCAGCGUUGCAAUCUCAGCUCACUGCAACCUCCGCCUCCCGGGUUCAAGCAAUUCUGCCUCAGCCUCCUGAGUAGCUGGGAUUACAGGCACCAGCCACCACGCCUGGCUAAUUUUCGUAUUUUUAGUAGAGACGGGGUUUCACCAUGUUGGUCAGGCUGGAACUCCUGACCUCAAGUGAUCCUCUCACCUCGGCCUCCCAACGUGCUCGGAUUACAGGCAUGAGCCACCGUGCCCGGCCAGAUGUCCAUCAUUUUUUAACACUCCAAAGCACAAUGGAUGUUAUAAAUUAAAAUUGUUAUAAAAAAUGAUUUUAAAGCACAGAGGUAAUCUGAAGUUGCAAAAUCCAAGUUGGAUUCCAAAUAUGUUAUAGUUUUAAUGAAGAAAUUGAUAAAGUCCUGUUUAACUUGACUGCCUUUUCUGGUGACAUUUUUUGAGUUCUCAAGCAUUAAAUGGGUCAUUAUUCCUGCUGUAUGAGGUUUUGUGGCCCCCUCUCCAAUCCAAGUGUGGCUGGCUAGCCCCAUCUAGGCUCCUCGGGGCUCCUUAAGGAGCAUCAGAGAGUACUGGCAAAACAGUAUAUACAUUUCUAUUUUAUUUUUAAUGUGUUUAUGUAUUUUUUUUUUCUUUGAAACGGAGUCUCAUUCUGUCACCCAGGCUGGAGUGCAGUGGUGUGAUCUCGGCUCACUGCAACCUCCACCUCCCAGGCUCAAGCGAUUCUCCUGCCUCAGCCUCCCGAGUGGCUGGGACUACAGACAUGUACCACCACACCUAGCUAAUGUUUGUAUUUUUUAGUAGAUAUGGUGUUUUACUAUGUUUGCCAGGCUGGUCUUUAACUCCC